rnacentral:rRNA from 1 species
UUCCCUCGGGGUCGCAGCAGGCGCGCGAAUCUUACAAUGCAGGCAACUGCGAUAGGGGGACAUCGAAGUGGCAUCCACCUUGGGCUGCCUGUCCAACCUGUCUAAAAAACGGUUGUUAGCAAGGGCCGGGUAAGACCGGUGCCAGCCGCCGCGGUAAUACCGGCGGCUCGAGUGGUGGCCGAUAUUAUUGAGUCUAAAGGGUCCGUAGCCGGCUUUGCAAGUCCUCCUGGGAAAUCCAGCGGCUUAACCGUUGGGCUUUCCAUGGGAUACUACAUUGCUUGGGACUGGGAGAGGUAGGAGGUACUCGGGGGGUAGGGGUGAAAUCCUGUAAUCCAA